CAGAUCCACUUGAGACAACCUUCAUGGCACAGUUGGACAGUCUUCAGCCUCAGCUCACAUCAGUUUUCCAGAAGAAGGGAGUUGUCACAGGCAAGAAACUCAGCAAACAUCUGCAGAUCUUAGAAGAGAGGCUACAAGUGAUGUUCAUUCAAAAAGAGCAGCAGUCCUCAGGGCACUUUGCCUCUACCUUGGUGAGGAUGAUGGACAUCUUAUCCAUGAGUAUAUGAGGCUACAAGUGAUGUUCAUUCAAAAAGAGCAGCAGUCCUCAGGGCACUUUGCCUCUACCUUGGUGAGGAUGAUGGACAUCUUAUCCAUGAGUAUAUGGACAACAAAGGAAAUGCCAUCCAGACAGGCAUGCAGAGGUGCACCAUGGGCAUUUAUGUCAUCAGCAAUGGAGAUCCUGGACAUUAUGAUGACAUUGGAAUUUUUGUUGAAGGAGUGAUCAUCCUGGACAACAUGGGAUCUGAAGCCCAGGCCUGUGCAGUGAUGCUUGGAGUGAUCUGCGCACUGAACCUGGCCUACCCCAAAGAACUGAGACACUUACGAAUUCAUUCAAAAAGGUACUCAUGCAGAUGGAUGGGGAAAAGCUCACCCCCAGGGUCCUUGGCCUAAAGAACCAAAUCAGUGUUGGACUGUAGGAAUCAGAUGAUAGUGUGUAUAGUAGGACAUAAAUUAUUUUUAUAUGUGGUACUUUUAUUUUAAUAAAUGAUCUGAGUACCUAUAUCAUC